UAGCAUAACAUUGUAAGAAACAUUUAUUGCGUCUUACACUGCUGUGCUACC
rnacentral:pre_miRNA from 1 species